AGAAAAUGGGGUGCUUUCGUAAAUUCUCCCUGGCUAUCUUCUUGUCUGAGUGUACCAGAGCGCUCAACACCGGUUGAAUUUGGCCGGUGUAACGUCGGCAAAAAGGCAUAAAAGUUUUGCCAGCAGCACAGUUAAUCAUCAACGCUCUGGAUAACAAACUGCCUAACCAAUUCUGCUAGGGAAACAAAGAAGAUGUACCGAUGUAUACAUUAAGACCCUCACACUUUCACAGAUGCACAAUUGAGAGCAUCCUGUCGGGCUGUAUCACCGCCUGGUACGGCAACUGCACCGCCCGCUUCCGCAGGGCUCUCCAGAGGUUGGUGCGGUCUGCCCAACACCGGGGGCACACUGCCUGUCCUCCAGGACACCUUCAGCACCCGAUGUCACAGGAAGGCCAAAAAGAUCAAGGACAUCAACCACCCGAGCCUAAGCCUGUUCACCCCGCAAUCAUCCAGUUGGCGAGGUUAGAACUGGUGCAUCAAAGCUGGGACCGAGAGACUGAAAAACAGCUUCUAUCUCAAGGCCAUCAGACUGUUAAAUAGUAAUCACUAGCCGGCUACCACCCGGUAACUCAACCCUGCACCUUAGAGGCUGCUGCCCUAUGUACAUAGACAUGGAACACAAGUCACUUUAAUAAUGUUUACAUACUGCUUUACUCAUUUCAUACGUAUAUACUGUAUUCUAGACAAUACCACUGACAUUGCUCAUCCUAAUAUUUAUAUAUUUCUUCAUUCCAAUCUUUUACUUUUAGAUGUGUGUGUUGUUGUGUAUUGUUAGAUAAUACUGCACUGUUGGAGCUAGGAACACAAGCAUUUCGCUACACCCGCAAUAACAUUGCUAAAUGUGUAUGUGACCAAUAACAUUUGAUUUGAUUUGAAGCCCUACAUCAGGGAUCAUGGAGGAGACAGGUUAAAGAAGGAUGUUUAAGCCUUGAGACAAUUCAGACAUGGAUUGUGUAUGUGUGCCAUUCAGAGGGUGAAUGGACAAGACAAAAGAUUUAAGUGCCUUUGAAUGGGGUAUGGUAGUAAGGCUGCUGGGUUUUUCAUCCUCAACAGUUACCCAUAUGUAUCAAGAUUGGUUCACCACCCAAAGGACAUCCAGCCAACUUGACAACUGUGGGAAGCAUUGGGGUCAACAUGGGCCAGCAUCCCUGUAGAAUGCUUUCGACACCUUGUAGAGUAAAUGCCCGACAAUUUUAAGGUUUUCUGAGAACAAAAGGGGGUGGUGUAACUCAAUAUUCAGAAAAUGUUCUUAAUGUUUGGUAUACUCCGUGUAUUUUGGGCUAAAACAAUCAUUUCAAACCUACCAUUUGUAAAUGAUAACAUCUCUCUAUUAUGUGUGGGAAUACUUGGGAACAGAUUUACAACAUUAAAAAUCACUUGGAGGUGAUUUCCUGGUUAUCAUCAUCUUUUAUGUCCCACAAGGGGAAAAAAAGACUGAAAAAUAAAACAUGUUUUUUGUUUUUGCUCAGAAAACGUUGAGGGCCAAAUAAAACCAAUCGCUGCCAGUUGGGGAACCCUGACCUAUAUUAAGACCUAGAAGCUAUGGGUCCAUUACAACAAAAAGGCUGAACUUCGCACAUACCACUGUGUUUACCAAUGAUAUGUAUAAACCCUGGAACGCUGAUACUAUCUAUUGUCCAAUGAGAGGCUUUGAAGCCACCAGUGGGCCAUAUUGGCACUCCCCAGAAGAAGCAGUCAUCCAUGUAUCUCACAUAAUAUAAUUAAAAAGUAUGAAUAUAAAUAGCACACAUAGAACAGAUAUACCGCUUCUCAGACUUUCUUUUAACUCACAUUUCUACGUGACUUUGCCCAGGUUGCCCCAAAAGCUACCUACUGCGACUUUAAUCGAUGGUUGUAAUAGGCCCCCAUAUGUUUCCAUAUUGGCCACAUAUGUUUCCAAAGGCUGCGUUUACACAGGCAGACCAAUUCUGAUCUUUUUCACUAAUUGGUCUUCUGUUCCAAUUAGAUCAGCCCUGAAAAAGAUCAUGUGAUUGGUCAAAAGACCAAUUGGUGGAAAAAAAUAUUUGUAUUGGGCUGCCAGUGUAAACGCAGCCAAGCUGAUCAUAUAACUGAUGUUUUUCUACUGACCAAUGAGAAUGCAAAUGUUAUGUAAGUGGAAAGUAUAAAAGGCUGGUUGAGACUCAUGUAUGUUGACAUUGUAUGCUACGUGUAUGCCGUUAAUUAAAGCCUUGAAUUGGA